rnacentral:misc_RNA from 1 species
UCCGCCGACGAACCCAGCUUGCGCGUGCCGCCCAAGGGAGCAUCAGUUAUGUCAUGGGGGCCCACACCGCGUUCGUCGUAACCGCGCACACUAUUGGCGCCGCCGAUAAAGAAGCGUUCGAAGACCGGCACUUCCCGCGUGUCGUCAUAAGGCUGCGCGUAUCCGCUGCGGAGCGCCAGCGCGCCGACGAGGGACCGCCAGAUCGGCUGAUAGCCGGAGACUUCCAGCGUGACGCGGU